rnacentral:sRNA from 1 species
AGCCUAAACCAGACCAAACACCCGGCAUGGCUCAAAACCCUUACGAGUAUUAAGCUCUCCGUUUAGAGCCCUCGUAAGGUCAUGCGCCGAAAGGUGUAUGGGUCGCAAGACU